rnacentral:lncRNA from 1 species
GUCGAGCUCUUCACCUCCCCACCCCCUUCUCCCUCCUUCCCGAACCCUUCUCUCUCAUUGAGCUCUUCACCUGCCAUCCUCAAAUGUUACUUUUUGCUUUAUAACAAUGUAGUUACCAAACAUACUUUUUACUUUUUUGCUUUUACUCAAUAGUAAAAAUCAAAAAUAAAAAUAAAAAAUAUUUUUUAAAAUUAAAAAUCA